rnacentral:rRNA from 1 species
AUUGAACGCUGGCGGCAGGCCUAACACAUGCAAGUCGGGCGAGCGGCGGACGGGUGAGUAAUGUAUGGGGACUGCCCGAUAGAGGGGGAUAACUACUGGACACGGUGGCUAAUACCGCAUACUAUCGCAUAAUCCAUAUGGGAUUAGCUAGUAGGUGGGGUAACGGCUCACCUAGGCGACGAUGUCUAGCUGGUCUGAGUGGAUUAUGAGCCACACUGUGACUGAGACACGGACCGGACUCCAACGGAGACAGCAGUGGGGAAUGUUGCACAAUGGGCGCAAGCGUGAUGCAGCCAUGCCGCGUGUAUGAAGAAGGCCUUAGGGUUGUAAAGUACUUGCAGCGGGGAGGCGUUACCCGCAGAAGAAGCACCGGCUAACUCCGUGCCAGCAGCCGCGGUAAUAC